UGUUAUUCUCUCCCUCCCUUCAGAGCUUCUUUGAGGGACAGUCCGCUCCGUGGGACUCUGCUAAGAAAGAUGAGAACCGCAUGAAGAACCGAUAUGGGAACAUCAUUGCAUAUGAUCACUCCCGAGUCAGACUUCAGCCCCUGGAGGGAGAGCAGAACUCUGAUUACAUUAAUGCAAAUUACGUUGAUGGCUAUCACAGGCCGAACCAUUACAUCGCUACCCAAGGUAAGAUGGGAUACUAUGAACUGUGUGUGUGUGAGCAUUGAGCCGCGUGCUUCCGUGUGUGUGGAUUGGUUUGUUAAG